GGCUGACCGGCGGCAGGAGGGCGAGGUGGGUGGGGGAAGGCCGGUAGCGACCACGUGGCGCGCCCUUCUUCCCCGUGUGCGGCUGCGGACCGGAGGUAGAAGGAGGGGUAGAGUCCGCCGGCGGCCGCGUUUCGAGGCCGGUGGCGGACGGGCUGGCGAGCGCGGCUGCGGCCACGUAGCUUCGUUAGGAGGGCAGGCGCGCGAGCUUAGUCCGCUCCCUAACCCUUCCCCCCCUGAUCUAAUGUGCCGCCUCGUGAGGCCGCUCACACUAAACCCCCUCCUCAACCUGCCUCUAGCGCUACUCGAAAAAUAAAUAAAAUCUUGAAUCUAGCGCUACUUGACCCUGACUACUUUCUCUCUCGUGCUCGUCAUUUCAUCCGGAGGCAACCCUGACACUCAGACAUAUGCCCGGCUUUCCUUCGGGCCGUGUUUCGGAGAAUUCCGGUCGGGUCCAGCCCUGUCAUUUCUCUCAUAUGACCGGGGCUGAGCUAGAGCCUUCUUUUUUAGGCCGGGGCUGGGCUGGGAGGCGGCGGCGGCGGCGAGCGUCGCGUCGGCGGAGCGGGGGCAGCCGCCUCUUCAACCGGAUCGGCGCCAGCGUGCUCCUCUACGAGCUGUAAUUGGAGAAGGCGUUCCUCUUCCCGCCGCUGGGACUCGAGCAGGCGGUCAGCGUCGCGUCGGCGAAGCGGGGGCAGCUCGAGCAGCUGCUCCAGUAGCAGGAGCUGCUCCGCACCGCGGUCUCCGUCAAGCUCGAGCUGUUCUAGGCCGUCCUCGAGUUGUUUUGGUCGUUCCUCUAGCCGUUCGAGUUCCGGUUUUUCGUCCUACGCUGCCUCGACUAUGUCUCGUGCCUCCUCUAAUUCUUCUCCGACCGGCGGUUCCUCUGGCUCCACGUCCUCCGGUUCUGGUGGGAGCUGCGGUUCGAGCAAUGGUAGCCGUUGGAGCACGUACUUAGGCACGGGUAGUCGUUGCUGCUCCGUUUGUUACGAUAAAACGCCUGUACCCCUCUCUUCUCUGACCUCCUCUUUAACUUCUUAGUACACCUAGAAACGUAUUACGAACUGUAGCACAGAAACCUAUUCCCACGACUACAUCGACCACCUUCUCCAAAGAAAAACUUCCCGCUGCCACAAGAGGACUUGGUCCGCAACUAUUUAAAACCCGAUAGUAAGGACCCUUUUGCUCUUAAAUGUGGUUACGUUUGAGGAAAAAAGUACUCUUUCCUUUAGUACCGUUUUACACGGGUCAACCGGGUUAAACUACUCCUCGAGAUGUUUCAUUGUCCACUGCCUCUCCUAUUCAUAGAGUAUCGUUGUAGCCUCGUUGGCGAUACACGAAUAGUAGAUCCACUAGCUUAAAUAGGACGUCUAAACGGCUAGUCUAUACGACCCAAGAGGUGCACGAAGGCCUUUCUUCGACCAAGUGUGCCCUCCCUGUGUCGACCGUAGAAGUCUCAGGUGGUCAAACUUUUCUAGCUCGUCAAGACGCGGUGUCCAGGUUUACUGUUACAUAGGACCCUUUACGUACUCCUCUACUAAUUCUUACGUCUUCUAAAAAUAGUCCGCUAACCCGAUGGUAUAGUUGAUCAAAGCUAACAGAGACCACGAGAAUUGCUACGUCGUCGAUUCUUCAUACUAAACCUUCGUACCAAGGGACGUAGUUUUUGGAAGGCUCUUAAUCAUAGGACAAGUUUAACGUGUCUAAUAGUCCGUUCCUCUGAACCUUAUCCGAUACCGGUCUUUUUCUUACUACUCGUUAGCUUCGUCAAACAAGUAUACAACUUAAGGUGCGACUGACGUUGACUCUCCUGGGAAACAACAUAAGACCUCUUGAUGGUCUCCCUCCCACCACAACUUCACGGUCUCCACAACGCCGGCAAGUACGAACCUUAUCUAAAGGAAGGAAAGUUCGCCGGAGAACAACUAUCGUUUGUUCGACGACGACUGAGGUUUGGGUUGUUCAGAUUUGGUUUCCCCUUACGCCGAACUCGACAUUCCCAUCGUUUUACUUUUAACAAAGGUCCGUCUAUUACUACCUAGGAAGGAAAAUAAUUAGAGACUUAGCAGACACCGUACCACUACUAAACCACAGGGUAAAACCUACAAACCAAUGUUUUAUAACGUUAGGUCCCGUGUCAAAUGGUGUUUCAUAUAAUCACAAAAAGUACUGAUAAUGUGGGUAACGUGAUUAAUUAACGAAUAUCUCUAACUUCAUCGCUAUUGAACUAAAUAAAACCAUAACGUUCGACUGCACAUUUAGCGAGCAAUGGACUCAUCGUCACCGUGAACACCCUGUCUCUACUUUUACGAUUCUAAUGGUGUACUCGGGAGUCGGAUUCCACAAGUAACGGACCAGAAGUUACGAAACACUGAACACUCGGUUAAUUUCCACCGCUAUCAAUCCCCCACUACGGUGGCGAGACAAACGAGAAACAAAUGUAACCAUUAUGGCUGAAGUAUACGCAAUCAAAAAGUAACGAGAAAACGAGAACAUAGUUG
rnacentral:rRNA from 1 species